rnacentral:rRNA from 1 species
GUGGUGCAUGGUUGUCGUCAGCUCGUGUCGUGAGAUGUUGGGUUAAGUCCCGCAACGAGCGCAACCCUUAAGCUUAGUUGCCAUCAUUAAGUUGGGCACUCUAAGUUGACUGCCGGUGACAAACCGGAGGAAGGUGGGGAUGACGUCAAAUCAUCAUGCCCCUUAUGAUUUGGGCUACACACGUGCUACAAUGGACAAUACAAAGGGUAGCGAAACCGCGAGGUCAAGCAAAUCCCAUAAAGUUGUUCUCAGUUCGGAUUGUAGUCUGCAACUCGACUAUAUGAAGCUGGAAUCGCUAGUAAUCGUAGAUCAGCAUGCUACGGUGAAUACGUUCCCGGGUCUUGUACACACCGCCCGUCACACCACGAGAGUUUGUAACACCCGAAGCCGGUGGAGUAACCAUUUGGAGCUAGCCGUCGAAGGUGGGACAAAUGAUUGGGGUGAAGUCGUAACAAGGUA